UUCUAUGAGUGGAAAACACAUUCCCUUUCUUUUCUUCAUCGUCUUUGAAAGGGGAAAUCGAGGCUGCUGCCCAAAUCUGAGUGCCCCUGCGGCCCUGCCCUGCGGUCCAUCUACGGUGAACUCCCUCAUUUUCUAAAAGAAAAAGAAAAAGAAAUCCUGUUAUCAUCUCAGUCUACCCCUAGUUCCCCACCAGCAUCCUUAUCCAUCCACAUGCGUCAUCUUCUCCGAUUAACAGCCGGCGGACAAAGAUGUCGCCGCUAGCCAUCACCGAAGUAAUUCCCCAGCCAUCCUGCUUCUUGAUUCAUUUCUUCCAAUCUCUCCUCGUCGAUUUACUGCUGCAGCUGGCCAUGUGCGCGGAGUGCGUAGACGCGUUUGUUCAUUCCGAGAGAUGUGGAUGCUCGACGACCUCGUCGAGUCCGGCGGAGCAGCCAUGGGGAGGAGCGGGGAAAACAUGAAAGCUGCACUGCUCAACCUCUUCAUGUUCACGGCCAGAUGCCCAUGGCUGAGGUGUUGUAUCUUGGCCCCAUGGAGGAGCCUGUGAGGGAAAUCACUGAAUCACAGACUGAUGGUGAUUGUUGGUUCUGGAACCUGAGAAUGGCGGCGCCGGGCAAAGCUAGCGGUAUGCAACAGUAGAGGCCGUUGAUUUGCUAUCCGGUUCUGCUAUUAAGUUACUAAACCAAGAUCCCAGUCUCCAUGGGGCUCACGUGCUGCUGCUGAUGAUAUUUUGUCUUGACGCCCUUCUUUGUGUAAUGUACUCCCAUUACUGUCAUGUAGUUUCUCUUUUACACGCACCAGUUCGCAUGAAAGCUUGCUAGGUGAAACUUUAUUAUUCUGUGACUACAUACAUAUAAAUUUAAAAAAUUAGACACAUCUCUAAAAUCUGAAGUGUGUAUAGUUAAAAAAUCAAUCACCUUUUUAUCUGGCAUGUGCUUCUUCAUUAAUUAGGUAUCAUCCAUCAAUUCCUGUGAAACAUAUGUAAGAUGAAUUAGUUAAGGAAUUCUAAAGAUGGUACUUCAUAUUUUUGAAGAAAAAAGUUAAGGCAACUCUACCUCCUCGGUUUAUCGUUCAAGUAGAGCAUCUCAAGCCUAUUAUCAGGCACAAAUGUAUUUUUACUGCAUAGUUUUGUGUGUCAAAGGUGAGAUUAUAUCAUUGAGCUUGAAUCAAAAUAUAAGUUUUUCCCACAUAAUUGUUGAACAAUCUUUGGUGCUUCUUCUGAUUUCGCAUCCAGUGAGUUCAGCAAGUGAGAUGUAGAUGUAUUAAGCAAGUUAUUGUUCUCUCCACGCGCUUCAUUUGUGUUAGUAGUCCAAUAACAUUUGUUUAUAUGGAGAUUAUUUAUCAAUUAGAAAUAUUAAUUAUUUGGAAGUCAUAAUUAUAACUAUCAACAUACCUAAGCAUUGUGUAUCUUUUUCUGUCCUUGUAGUGUGCCCAUGGUAGCAAACUCGCGAAAAUAAUCUGGGAAAACUUUCGAAGAUCCUUUUAACUUUUACCUGUGUAUUGUAUGCAAAAAUAUAUUUUAAUUUCAUUGCUCAUUGGCCUAUAUUUUGUAGAUUCCACAACCUUAACAUUGCUGAAUGCAUAAAUAGAUUUCUCAUUGAUCUUUGAUCUAAACAUGUCUAUUAGGUUCUUCCAGGUAGUAGCAUGGACUGUUUCACCCUGCCAAAACAAUCAGAUAUGGCCAGAAGUGCUUUGGCGUGACUUCUUCCAACGUUGAUUGGAGCAAUUUGGCAUGGCUUCGUCAGGCGUCAGACAUGCUUUGGCGUAAAUUUGUCGGACGUCAAGUGAAGCGGCUGGGCAUGGAUUUUUGUGGUAGCUCCGUUGACUUCAACCUGUUCAAGUCAUGGUGAUUUUCGACUUCUAAUUGCUUGGUGUGUGAUUGUGCGGCCGACUGUACUUGUUUAGAUGGGUUCAGGUGGCCGAGACGUGUGGAAAUCUGAUCGUAACCUUGUACUAUUUUUUCUUUUUUGAAAUUUUCAUCACAUGAGAUGGGUUUGCAUGUAUUCGUUCCUGUUUCGGAAUUUUCAUCAUGUGAGAUACGUCUCCUACUUGCAUCCGUUCCAAACUCUUCCA